rnacentral:rRNA from 1 species
UACGUAGGGUGCAAGCGUUGUCCGGAAUUAUUGGGCGUAAAGAGCUCGUAGGCGGCUUGUCGCGUCUGCUGUGAAAACUCGGGGCUCAACCCCGGGCCUGCAGUGGGUACGGGCAGACUAGAGUGCGGUAGGGGAGACUGGAAUUCCUGGUGUAGCGGUGAAAUGCGCAGAUAUCAGGAGGAACACCGGUGGCGAAGGCGGGUCUCUGGGCCGUAACUGACGCUGAGGAGCGAAAGCGUGGGGAGCGAACAGG